GGGAAGUUCUACCCAUGUCGGAAGAGGCCGAGUGAGGCUUGAAGCCCCAGCUGGGGCAGGCUGUGGGUCGGGGAGUGCCCUGCGGAGAAGUGAAACAACUGGAGAAAUGUGGGGCCCCACUAUCACAGUGAUGCGAUGGGAAGGAGUGUGUGUACAGAGACGACGGGUGAGGAGGGCGGUGGUGCCCUCGAUCUUCGGUGGAAGAGAAGAGGAUCUCUGUUCUUGAGACCCCUCGGCCCCAGGGGGUGAAAUUUGGGGGGGGACAGGUGUCCCAAGAGUGAGAGACUGUACCCUUUUUGGAACUGGGCAAAGCACCCUUAAAAGGAAAACCCUAGAAGCAGCUCUGGUCCAUGCACAGUGGUGAGAGCACUGUACAUAGAAGGAAGAUGUCAUGAUGGCAAAUGUUCUCCGGGCGGUGCCACGUGAUAUGGAAACACAAGAGGUUUCAACUGUGUUUCCAUGGGAAGCCUGUGGCACAAGAAGGACUCCUCUCUCCUUGAUGAACUGAGAAUUGAUUAUCUAAAGAGUGGUGAUAUACUGAGAGUUGAUGAUCUGAGGGGUGGAUGUAUUGGAAAUUUGGUGGGGGGGAGGAGGAAUGUUUUUUGGAAGGUUUUCAUUCCGAGUUCUGUGUGUGUUUCUCUUUAUAUAUAGCUGUAGGUUAAUAAAGUUCUUUUCCUUUUUAUUCCUAA